AAAUUGAAGAGUUUGAUCAUGGCUCAGAUUGAACGCUGGCGGCAGGCCUAACACAUGCAAGUCGAACGGUAGCACAGAGAGCUUGCUCUCGGGUGACGAGUGGCGGACGGGUGAGUAAUG
rnacentral:rRNA from 4 species